AGACAGACUGAGGAAGCUGGGCUUGUUCAGCCUGAAGAAGAGACUGCUACGAGGAGACCUCAUUGCAGCCUUUCAGUCUAAAAGGAGCCUACGAACAGAAGCGGACCCAACUCUACUGGGAUAGGUAAUGGCAGGACUGGGAGAAAUGGUUUCAAAUUGAGGAAGAUUUAGGUUGGUUCUUAACCAAGAGAGUGGAGAGGAACUGGAACAGACUGCCCAGAGAGGUUGUGGAUGCCCCGUCCCUGAACGUGGGACAGGGCUCUGGGCAGCCUGGUCUAGUAUUAGAUACGAAGGUUGGUGGUCCUGCAUGUUGCAGGGGGGUUGGAGCUUGAUGACCCUUGAGGUCCCUUCCAGCUCAAGCCAUGCUAGGAUUCUACAAUUCUUAGGAGAUUACUGCUAUAGCACCAUGAUAUGGCGCCCUUAAAAUUUCACUAGCAAUUGAAUUUAACUCUUUCUAGAAGGAGCUUCUAUCUAAAACUUAGAAGUUCAAGCCUUAGAUUUAUACCACAUGUAUUGAGAAACUUGUUAAGUGUCCAACCACUUUUGCUUCCUCCCACACCAACACAUGCCCCUUCAUCUUCCUUUUCCCCACCAGUAACUAGGAUUAAGCUAUGCAGGUGUGAUUUCACAUCUGCUGCAAGAUAGUGCUGACAUUAUACCAGUAGGCCACUGAUUUCAAAAACUGACACAAUAAAGGAAAACCUUCACAAGUAAAAUACAGCAGAUUGCUUUACAGAAGCAGAAAUCGCACGGAGAGCCUCGCCGCAGCGGUGCGGGUCCCGCGACGGGGAGCGAUCCGCCACCAGGACGGCUGCUAGAGCCGGGGGAGGCGGAGACCGUACCGCCCUCCCACGCUUCGGCCGCGUAGCGCGCACGGGCGAUGCGCGUCCCGUGGCAGCUAUGGCCGGCUUCCACGAGCACCUGAGCCCCGUCGGCGGCAAGAAAUGCAGCCCUGAAGAAAAUGUUUCUUUCUUCAAUAAAUUAACGUAUUCCUGGUUUAGCAGACUAGUAUCUAUAGGCUAUAAAAAGCCUCUGGAAAGAGAUGACCUGUUUGAACUGAAUGAAAGUGAUUCACCGUACAGUGUGGGUCCUAACUUUGAAAAGCAAUGGAGAAAAGAAAUCCAGAAGUCUUCUGCAGGAUUGACGGAUUCUUAUAUUGAAAGAAUGCUGUUUAAGUCAAGAAGUUUCUAUAAACCAUCUUUGAUUUUUCCACUGUGGCAAACAUUUAAGUUUUUGUUGCUCAAAGUUGCAUUUUUAAAAGCUGCAGCUGACAUCCUGGCUUUCAUGAGUCCACAAAUAAUGAAAUCAAUGAUAACUGUAAGUGAAAAUCACACGAGUUCACAUGGGAGUGGAUAUGGCUAUGCUGUUGCCCUGUUUUUUGUAGUUCUCUCACAAACUCUCCUGCAUCAGUUAUACCAGCGUAACAACAUGCUUACUGCUGUGAAAGUCAAGACUGCAGUUGUUGGCCUGAUAUACAAGAAGGCCUUAACUUUAGCCAGUUCCUCACGACAAAGGUAUACAACUGGAGAGAUGGUUAACCUGAUAUCAGCAGAUGCUCAGCAACUCAUGGAGCUAAUUGUAAACAUCAACCUGUUGUGGUCAGCACCUUUUCAGAUCAUCAUGGCUGUCAUCUUCCUCUGGAAAGAACUUGGCCCCUCAGUACUAGCCGGUGUGGCAGUGCUUCUUUUGGUCAUACCUCUAAAUGCACUUAUUGCAGCCAAAGUAAAAACUCUGCAGAAAAGCCAGAUGAAAUAUUCAGAUCAACGCGUCAAGUUACUGAGUGAAAUGUUACAUGGAAUAAAGAUCCUCAAACUUUAUGCAUGGGAACCUUCAUAUCAAAGGAAGGUCAUGGAUAUCAGAGAACGUGAAGUGGAUGUUCUGAAGUCAUCAGGAUAUCUGAAGACUUACUCCGUGUUAACCUUGACCUGUAUUCCCUUUAUGGUUUCAUUGUCUACAUUUGGGGCCUACUUUUAUCUGGAUAAGGAACAUGUUUUAACAGCUGCUAAAGUUUUUACAUCUAUUUCUUUGUUUAACAUUUUGCGACUACCCUUGUUUGAUUUACCAUCUGUGAUCUCUGCUGUUGCCCAGACCAAGGUUUCUCUGAGCCGUUUAGAGGAUUUUCUGUUUGCUGAGGAUCUUAACCCUGAAGAUGUUGAUACAAACUACAGUGGAAACCAUGCUGUUGAGCUUACUGCUGCUUCUUUCUGCUGGGAGAAAAAUGGCCUGCCAGUCUUAAAAAACUUGAGUGUCAGCAUACCUGCAGGCUCUUUAGUUGCUGUUGUGGGACAGGUUGGAUCCGGAAAAUCAUCUUUUCUUUCUGCUCUUCUUGGAGAAAUGGAGAAACUUGAAGGAACAGUUCAUAGAAGAGGUUCAGUGGCUUAUGUUGCUCAGCAAGCUUGGAUUCAAAAUGGCAGUUUACAGGAAAACAUUCUCUUUGGCACAGAUCUAAAUAGGUCAUACUAUGAGCUUGUUUUAGAGUCUUGUGCUUUGCUGCCAGAUUUGGAACAAUUACCCAAUGGAGAUCAAACAGAGAUUGGAGAAAGGGGUGUCAACAUAAGUGGAGGGCAGAAACAGAGAGUGAGUCUUGCUAGGGCUGUGUACAGCAAUGCUGACUUGUAUCUUCUGGAUGACCCUCUAUCUGCUGUAGAUGUACAUGUUGGAAAACACCUUUUUGAGAAGCUCAUUGGGCCUUCAGGUCUCUUAAAAAGCAAGACUCGUGUUUUGGUGACACAUAACUUAACACUCCUGCCUCAUGCUGAUCUUAUAAUAGUAAUGGAAGAGGGGAAAAUAAGUGAAAUGGGCAGCUACCAACAACUCAUUUCAAAGAGAGCUAAAUUUGUUGAGCUUAUUGAAGUCUUCAAUGUAGAGAACAGAAGUGAAAAGACAACCCCAAAUGAAGUGAGUUCUUCAAAUGAAGAGUGCCAACUAGGGAGGAGUCUGCAGCAAAGAGAGUUGUUGAAACCCAGGCAUUCUUCAGGUCAGUGGAAAAUACUCAGAAAUAAUAAAGAAAAAGUUGCCACUGGUGGUAUGAAAAUGUCAGUUGUUUUAAAAUACCUUCAAGCCUUUGGCUGGCGAUGGAUGUGGCUGACCGUGGCUGCUUAUUUAGGACAAAAUGCACUAGCCAUUGGGCAAAAUCUGUGGCUUAGCACCUGGACUGCAGAGACAGCAAAAAUGAGUGAUUUCACAGAAUGGCAACAGUCACGAAAUUACAAACUUGGUAUUUAUGGGCUUUUGGGAUUCUUACAAGGUCUGCUUGUUUGCUGCGGUGCCUACGUGCUCACCCAGGGCUCCCUUGCUGCUUCUAGGACAUUACAUCAUCAGCUGUUGGACAGUGUAUUGCACCUUCCUCUUCAGCAUUUUGAAACUAACCCAGUAGGUCAGAUCCUCAAUAGGUUCACGAAGGACUUAUUUAUAGUGGACAUACGUUUUCAUUACUACUUACGAAGUUGGCUGAACUGUACACUAGAUGUUAUUGGAACCAUUCUAGUUAUCACGUUUUCCUCACCACUGUUCAUAGUGGUAGUUAUUCCCCUGGGAUACUUGUAUUUUAUUAUCCAGCGAUACUACAUAGCAAGCUCACGACAGAUUCGACGGCUAGCAGGAGCAUCACAUUCUCCUGUCAUCUCCCACUUCACGGAGACUAUCCUAGGAGGGUCAACAAUCCGAGCAUUUGGCCACCAGGAGAGAUUCAUUAGAAAAAAUAAUGAUGUUGUAUAUGAGAACUUAGUUUAUUUCUACAACAAUGUCAUCUCAAACAGGUGGCUAUCUGUCAGGCUUGAAUUUCUAGGGAAUUUAAUGGUGUUCUUUGCUGCACUGUUUGUAGUACUGGCUGGAAACACAGUGAGUUCUUCUACAGUGGGUUUAUCAAUAUCAUACGCUCUAAAUAUAAUUCAGAGUCUAAAUUUUUGGGUGCGUAAAGCAUGUGAAAUCGAGACCAAUGCGGUUUCAAUUGAAAGAGUUUGUGAAUAUGCAAACAUGGAUAAAGAGGAACCAUGGAUUACAUCAAAAAGACCACCAGUAGGGUGGCCUGAUAGAGGAAUAAUAGAGUUUGUUAACUACAAAGCUCAGUACAGGAAAGAUCUUGGUUUGGCCCUGAAUAACAUCUCCUUUCAGACACGGAAUAAAGAGAAGGUUGGAAUUGUAGGGAGAACAGGAGCUGGUAAAUCAACACUCACAAAUUGCUUAUUUAGAGUUCUGGAGGGAUCUGGAGGCAAAAUAGUUAUAGACGGAGUUGAUAUAUCAACUAUUGGACUCCACGACCUGCGUGGAAAUCUUAACAUUAUUCCACAGGAUCCCGUCUUGUUUUCUGGGACACUGCAGUCAAACUUGGAUCCACUUGGAAAACAUUCUGAUCAUGAACUGUGGGAGGCACUGGAACUGUGUGACUUGAAGAGUUUUGUCCAGUCACUUCCAAAAAAGCUCCUUCAUGAGAUUUCAGAAGGUGGUGAAAAUCUCAGCAUUGGCCAGAGACAACUGGUCUGUCUGGCCCGUGUUUUGCUACGAAAGAAAAAAGUCCUAGUUCUUGAUGAAGCAACAGCUUCUGUUGACAUGGAAACUGAUAACUUGGUGCAGUCCACCAUCAAAAGAGAGUUUUACAACUGCACAAUAUUAACAAUAGCCCACAGAUUACAUACAGUCAUGGAUUCAGAAAGAGUGCUUGUUCUGGAUGCAGGAAGGAUUCUAGAGUAUGAUACACCACAUAAUUUGUUACAACGAAAAGGUGCCUUCUCUAAAAUGGUUGCAGAGGCGGGUAUAAAAAGAUAAAGAAAACUAAUGAAUAAAUUCUUAUGAAGAUGAGAAUUCCUUGAACUGAUACACUCUCCGAAGAUAUGCAGCAUUCCUGAUGUUACGAACUUCCUUGAAAGUUCCUGACAACACUGCUGUUUACUAUGACUACAGUCCAUACAUAAUGAUCAGGUUUCUUAAAUCAACUUCCUGUUUUUAUACAAAUCACUGAUUUUUAUUAUAUUGGUACUGGACCAACACAAUGAAGGAAUGAUUUUCAUGAUAUAUUUUAAAUUUUUUAAUAUUGCACUAGUGAAGAUGGAUGCCCAGGACCCCAUCCAGCCUGGCCUUGAACACCUCCAGGGAUGAGGCAUCCACAGCCUGUGGAUCCACUUCCCCCUGAUAUCCAACCUAAAUCUUCCCUCCUUCAACUUGAAACCAUUUCCCCUUGUCCUGCAGUUAUCUACCCUUUCGAAGAGUUGACUCUCUUCCUGUUCUAUAGUCUCCCUAUAGGCACUAAAAGGCUGCAAUGAGGUCACUCUGUAGUUCUUUUCUCCAGGCUGAUCAAGCCCAGCUCCCUCAGCCUGUCUUUGUAGGGGAGAUGCUCCCAGUACCUGAUCACCUUUGUGGCCCUCCUCUGGACCCUCUCCAACAGUUCUCACCUUUUCUUGUAUUGUUUUUACAAAAUCACAUUGUGAAAGAAUACUACAAAAUAGGUACAGCUAUUUGCUAGUAGAUUUUAACGCGAAACUCUACUAUUUAGAGCUACUCAAAAGAAUAUGUGUAUUAUUGAAAGUUUCAGUUAAACAUUCCUGUGCUGCUUAAGCCAUCUAAAUAUUGCCAUUUUUACUACACAUCCUUAAACUCUUCAAUACUAGCUGUGGUUGGAAUGUGUUAAAAGGUUGGCGAGGAGGAUAAGAACUGAAGACUAGUGAGAAGCACUGUAAACAUGCUCAAGUGACCUUGCAGCAUGGAGGGAAACAUAAAUUGUACCUGUUGUUUAUUCUGUAUAUUUGACAAGUAGAACAUCUGUAUAUAGAUCACACAGGUGUGUGGUAGACUGGGAAGCACCUGUUGAAUAACUUGAGCCCCCUGCCUUUACAGAGAAGAUCAGACCACAAUGAAGGUCAUGGCAUAGUGGUAAACAACAUCUGCAGAAACCCUUGAUCAGCAGGUGAAAACAACAGGUUCCAAUAGCAUGGACUGAGCAGUGAGUCUGUGGUUGUUUCUGCUGCCUGUGUGGACUUGACAUAUUGGGUGUAGUUGAUAGGAUCACGGAACUGCCAGAGGUGACUUUCCACAUUUUGGAAUGGCCCAGCACUGAGCACUGGUGCUGUGUGGCUACUUUCCUGGCUACCACAACUCUGAUGGAACCAUGGCCUGAAACAGAUGUCAAGGUAGUGGUUACCCCCAGAUGAUUGAGACAGCUGUGUAUGGAUUACCAUGAAGAUUAGGAUGGUUGUUUGUUGCCAGUCUUAGAGCUCAUGACUGUGAAGUUGUUGCAUUGUGGAGUAAAAUGAGAGCGUGCGAAAGGGUAGUCAAGACGUUAUAAGAUGUGAUGGCCAUCAUACAAGAACUAAUUACUACUGAAGCAGAGCACUGCUGUGGACUGCAAGGCAUUGCAGAAGACACAGGUAUAGAAAAUGGUUUUGAGUUCCAUGGAACCUUCAUGGGAUCCCAAAGAACAGUAUAGAAGUUUCUGAGUGAGUCCUUGGAUUCUGAGAUUGAGUCUGAGUCAGAAUUAGAUCAGGGUGUGGUAGUAGCACAGCAGAUGCUUUGGCAGCAAAUGUCAAAACAGCAGAAAUUAAAGUUUGGCAGGUCCCCUGCACUACUGUUACUGUAGCCUCUUACCAUGAGGGAAAGCAAUGAUCCCAUGUUCUUUGAGCUAUCAGGUGGUGAUCUGGAGGAAUUUUAAAAGCAUUAGCUCUAGUAGACACUGGAGACGAAAAUUCUGUAUCAUGUAGCAGUGUUAAUGAUAAAGAAACCACACACAGAUCCAUGAUCUGGAAGCAAAUCCAAUCCCUGCCCUAUAAAAUGAGAUUGCCUUAACAAUAGUAAAUACUAUUCUAUUUACCACAACAGUGUUAAUUGCCCCAAUUAUCUUUGGGGUAUCAGUGCAUUGGCAGGAUGGACAGUUGAAACAUUAAACAAUUACUUCUGCUUUGGGUCUUUGCAAGUGGGAUAUAUUAUAUAUUAUUUGAUCUGUAUAUAUUUUGCAUGGGUUCCCAAAGGAUCCUACUGUGCUGCCCAUGCCUGCCAAGGUGGUGACCGUAAAACAAUAUUACAUCUUGGGGAGAAGAGGAAGUUACUCAAACCAUCCAGACACUUCAACAAGUGGGAAGAAGCCACAACUUGUUGUAAUAAUCCUAUUUGACUUGUUCAGAAAUCGGACAGUACUUAGGGAAUGGCUGUAGAUUAUAGAGAAUCAAAUAGUCACCCAACACUUGCAGUUAUGGUAUUAGACAUAGUUACUCUUGUAGAAAAAAUUAACAAAAAUGUACAAUGCUGAAAGGUGAUAACAGAUCUUGCUAAUGCUUUCUUUUGAACAGUGAUUGGUUUAGAAAGCUAAGGCCAGUUUGCCAUUAUCAGGCAAGAAAAGCAAUAUACUUUUCAAGAACUAUCUUAGGGACAUAAAAAGUCUCUCCAUUUGCCACCAAAUGAAAGUGGCUAAUGUUCAGUUGUUUACCUUUCUAUUGAUUAUCUGUUGAUUACAGUGGAGUCGCAACAAGAAAUUUAAGUAGCUGCACUUACAGGACUGAGGCUGGGCAAUUAAUCCAAACAAAAUACAGGAAGCUAUUCUUUAUUUUAUUUCAGGUAUCUAUCUUUGAUGAAUACAUGUCUUACCUAGGAGCCGUAGUACUGGAAUAAUAGUAUUGGUGUCAUGAACCACCACCAACUUGAAGUUCAUUGUGAAAAAGCACAGGCUGUAGCACUUCAGUUUGUGUGAAUCUCAAAGUUACCAAACCCAGAAUAAUAUCAGUGGAAGGAGUUGGUAUAACAGACUAUGUAUUACUGAAAGGAGAUGACAUUCCUAUUUUCCUCCUGUGUUACAGGCUGGCUCAUCAUGCUUCGUAAUCUUGUACUACAAGCAUAUACCCUAGGUAUAUUUCUGCAAGAUCAAUAUGUAAAUACUCAAGUUUGGUUAGCCUCUAUUCUUAUUCUUUCAGGUAGCAAAUACAGAACAUCUGACACAGGCUCCCAUGAAAUAUUUACACUGGACAUUAAAAGUAAUUGCUGCCUUAAAUUUGGAAAUAAUGGCUGUAUGCCAAAGAACCUUACAACAUCGAUUUGCAGUGGUCUGCCACCCACUUCAACAACAUAAAAUGCUGUUCUGAGUUUGGAGGCAUGCAUGGGUCCAACAUUACUGAUGGAGUAGCUAGCAUGGAGGAUGACUUUCAGCAUCUCUAGGACUUAAUACCUCAAGUGAAACAAUCUACCAGUGGUGCCUGGUGAGCCGAGCAGUUCAAUGCCUUCAAUGAGACAUUUAAUUCAAAACAAUCUUGUAGGGAUAUACUUAUUCCUUUUCCUACAUGUUACUCACCUCUGUAAAUUACCCUCUCCCACACUGCCACCCCUAGCAGUAGUGGUCUCUCAAACAAAGGGGGUCAAAUGGAGGAAGAAAUGGAUUAAAAGUAGAAGACUGACCAGGAGGAUUGUAAACACGCUCCAGCUGGCAAUGCACAGUUUGGAUAGUAGUCAUAAAGGAAAAUACAUAAAUGAUAUUUAUUCUUUGAGUGUUUGACAAGUAGAACAUCUAUGUAUAGGUAACAUAUUAAACAUGGUUCAGAUCCCUGCUUUACUAAGGAGAAGAUCAAAACACAGAACUAAACUACACCUCAACAAGUAUAAACAGUAGGCUUGUAAUUCUUCAGCACGGACCAAGCAUGGACACGGUGCCUGUGCCUCUACCUGUGUACUUUGGUCUGAGUGCCUGCUGUAGGGAUCCCCAGGCUGGCAAUGAAAAUACACAUACUCUACCUUUUAGCUGUGGGGCUGUGGUGGUUCCUGCUGCCUGCACUGCUAGCUCACACAUCAAUGCAAGCAAAGUUUGCAGUUUUAGGAAGAGGGUGAGAAACAACAUCUCUUCCCCUCUUCUUGUCCCCCACCUGAGGGCAGCAGUGGCUUCCCUGUAGAGCAGAAACUACCAUACCAACAUUUCAAAUGGGGAAAGCAGUCAGGUGCCCAGGAAAGGCUCUUCUUGGGUCCCAUCUCUUACUUACCUUUACACUGCCCCAAAACCCACCCUUUCCUAGAAGUAGCACAGAAGAAACUGGAAAAACACAAAUUGGAUUCUAUUUCCUAAACAAAUGUUUUAGGAUUAAUACUAGGAGAGGUAAUGACUUCAGUACCAACAGCGACCAACAUCUCUUGCAAGGUACAGAGAAAGUCAUGUAUGGUAAUUUUAUUUAUUUAGGGGGAGAAAAAGGUUUUUUGUACUUACUACUGGACUGACACAAUUCAAAGAAUAAACAGGGAAACAGUGCUGUUAAAAUAGUUCCCUGGGAAACUGAAACAAGACAGGGCUGGAGGACAGAAAUUAUUUUUAUUAAAAACAUUCUAAAAGGUUAUUUAUAAAAUGCAUUUCAUCAUCUGCAUUUGGAAACAAUUGAGGAACAUACUGCUGGUGAGGCAGCUUAGCCAUUUCGAAUUUCAACUUGCAACACAAGCUUUAACUGUAUGAACUUCUCAUACACUUAACACCACAGGUAACCGUACUCAAGAUUUCCAGGAGAGCUUGUAGAAAGAGUCCAGCCUUCGAAUACCAAUUUAUUUAAACAAAGGCUUCUGAUAAGCAGUAUAUCUGCAUAUCUAGAAACAUCCAGUUAGUGCAGUGUCCUACUCAUCUUUCAAAUAUGAAAUAUAUUUUAAUAUAUGACACAGUAGUAAGAUCAAAGACAAAACAGAUAAUUUGAUUGCAGAAUUCAGAAAAUAAAUAAGGAUGCAUUGGGAGAUAUCUGAUGUACAGUAGCUUUUUUACUUCAAGCUGCGUAGAAAACUGAAAGAAUAAAUACCCUUUUGUGAUUUUUUAAAUUAUUUUUCUUAAUAAACAACUCAUCCUACCCUUACCCAGAUUAAAACUAGAGACUGUUUUUAAUCUCAUCUAGACUGAAGGAAUAUGCUAAAGUACUUCCUUUAUUUGCAUUGUUUAAACAGUUUAAAGUUACACCCUCACUUCUGCCUAACUUGUCCUAAAACUGCAAAAAGCUUUUAAUAGUUUAGCCCAACUGCAACGUGGUUUUAUUUUAAUCUAUUUUAUUACACUGUGUAAAAUAAGCAGACCUGCAUUAAACAAAUAAAAAACCUGAAGUCCUACAAAAAUUCCACAGUAUUUUGAGAUGAAUUUACAGCAGGGCAGCAGAAAGGCCACAAUGACUCCAAAUACUCUGGAAAAAAAUAUAGUGAAUGUACACAAAUAUAUCUGCAAGGCAACUGCAUAUGAGAACUGUACUGCAUACUGGCACCAACUUCACUAAAAGACUUCUUUCAACUCAGGAGUUUUAGUUCUAUUCACCUUGGUCCCUUACCUCACUCCCUUUUGUUUUAUAAACAUGCAGUAUUUUAUUUUAAUACAUUAUCAGAUUUUACUAGAAUUCCCAUAUAGAUGUAAAGACAGGUGAUUUUCAAAGGCAUAAAGGCAGGGAAAAAAGCAUCCAAAAAGUUCCUUUAGUUUUCAACUCAGUGAAAUUAAAUGUUAUCGGUAUUUUGGGAAUCUUUGUGAAGUUAAACACCACCCAUGGAAUGGCUAAACAAAACUAAAACUCAAGAGGUUUUUAGUAGGAUUACUUCAAAGGUAUGUUUAGACCACAGCUAUGCAAACAGCUGCAUCAGCAGAACUGGGAAGGCAGUGCCAUAGAUCUGGUCUAUGCCAGGAGAAUAAUAGGCCUAUUUUAAUGUGGUCAAAGGUUAAACCAUAGAUCUAAGCCCACACCUGAUGCCUUGGCAUGCUUAUCAAAGUUAUUUUUUGGAGCAUACAAGAAAAUGCUUAAAAUCACCUAUUACUAGAGCUUACCUGAUACUGCGCUGAUGGAUAAAGACAAUCCUGAGUUGAAUGCCUUUACUUGAGAGUUCUAAACAGAUAGAAAAUCCCUUGGCUCAUUAAGUAAUGUUUUAACUUUCAAAAAAAAAAAAUUUAAUUUUAUCAUCCUUUUCUCCUCUUUCAUUUGCUAGAUAGGUGAGUGGCAAAGUAUUUGCUUAAAAUACAGGCUGAAGAAACUUUACCUCUAAUCCUUAGAUACAGGCACUGCUUCUUUCUCAGAUGAACAGCUACCAUCUGUUAUCUAUGCUGAGUUUAGAGUAGGAAUAUGACACAACUUAAAGAUACUAGAUAUUAGCAGAGAUGCUAGCUAAAAUGUAUAAACAAAGCUGGAUGAGUUUUCAUCAACGAGAGGAACUAGAUUUCAUCUAAGCAGUUCAUUUGGUCCCACACUUCUUCCCCUGAAAACAGUAGAGCUGGGGGGGGGGGGGG